rnacentral:misc_RNA from 1 species
UACACUCCUCGUCAAAAAGAUAACCCAUGUGUACUAUCUUUAAUUUCUCAAUGACGCGUGUAAAGUUUUUCGUCUGUAACUUAUUUAACAAUGGGUACAUCCUCCUUUAUUUUCUAUUACUUCUAUUGUACGAUUUGGUAUCGAUUUAUAUAGUUUCUGGAUAUAAUUUUGACUUAACGUAUGCCAUUCGUGUACAAUUGCAUUUUUUAAUUCUUGUACGUGUUGAUACUGCUUUUCAUUCGCGUAUACGCCGUGAACAAGUUCUGCCCAGUAAUUUUCAAUAAUAUUAAGGUCCGGGGAGCGUGCAGACCACGGUAAAAUAGAUAUAUUAUUCUCAUUAAAAUAUGAUUGAACCAAUCUUGAUAUGUGUACAGAUGCAUUAUCUUGUUGAAAGAUGUAAUCAGGUCCAAAAAUACGUUCUGCAUGAUUAUUUAUUUGUUCUUUGAUUAAGUUUAUGUAUCGGUCACUAUUCAUUCUUCCAUUGAUGAAUUUGAUACUUGUCUUACCAAAAUAACCGAUGUCCAAACCAUCACGCUGCCUCCUCCCAUUUGUCGUCGAAUUGCUGACAUUGUCUCUUUUCUUAUGUCAUGAAAAUAAUAUUGGAACCUACCAGGACCAUCCAAGCUGAAUCUUUUACAUCUGAAAAUAGUACCCUUCUCCAUUUCUUUUUCCAAUGCAUUCUUUCUUUCGAAAAGCGUAAACGUUUUGCUUUGUGUUUCGUUGUUAACGAAGGUUGCUUUUUCAAUUUUAAUAUCUCUUAAUAUCUUUGCAGGAUAGUAGAACUCGACGAACACUUGCACUAACACUGGCACUAACACUAGAUUUUUUCCAUUAUUUGUUUCAUUGUUAACUGAAAGUUGGAAGCAACACGCAAAAUUCCUCGCUUAUCACGAUCGGAUGACGAUGAAGGCCGACCAGUACUUUACUUUUUGCCAUAAACGUCAACAUUUUUUAAGAAAUUGUGUAUUACUUUACUACUUCUUCUUAUUACUUUCGAUAUUUUCGCUACUGAUAACUGUUGCUGUUUUAGUUUAAGAAUUUGCUUUUUUUUCAAACUCGUUUAAUAUUUUUCCGCGUCCCAUACUUACAAAUUACACGCGUCAAUGAAAAAUUAAAGAUAGCACAACUGGGUCACCUUUUUGUCAAGGAGUGUACAUUUGUAAACUGAGAUUUUGUUACGUCACAUUGUUUUGUAUGUUCGAUCGCAGUUUACUCGUACUGCUCGGUUAGUAAAGCAAUUUACUACAGCAGAACCAAUUAAAAUCCUACUAUUGUUAUUAUCA